CUCUUAUCCAGAGUGGUGAAGGGAACUGGCCCGAUGAAACCCGGCAACCUGCGAUUCGUAAGGUGCUAACUCCAGCAGAAUGUUUUUACAUUUUGGAAGAUAAGGU
rnacentral:ncRNA from 2 species